rnacentral:rRNA from 1 species
UACGUAGGCAGCAAGCGUUGUUCGGAGUUACUGGGCGUAAAGGGUGCGUAGGCGGCCUUAUAAGUAUGGUGUGAAAUCAUCCCGGCCUUAACUGGGAGGGUGCGCUAUAGACUGUGGGGCUAGAGUGUGGGAGAGGAAAGUGGAAUUCCUGGUGUAGCGGUGAAAUGCGUAGAUAUCAGGAGGAACACCGGUGGUGUAAACGGCUUUCUGGACCAUAACUGACGCUGAGGCACGAAAGCGUGGGUAGCAAACAGG